rnacentral:rRNA from 1 species
UACGGGGGGGGCAAGCGUUGUCCGGAUUUACUGGGCGUAAAGCGCGCGUAGGCGGCUUUGUAAGUUAGAGGUGAAAGCCUGGAGCUCAACUUCAGAAUUGCCUUUAAGACUGCAUCGCUUGAAUCCGGGAGAGGUGAGUGGAAUUCCGAGUGUAGAGGUGAAAUUCGUAGAUAUUCGGAAGAACACCAGUGGCGAAGGCGGCUCACUGGACCGGCAUUGACGCUGAGGUGCGAAAGCGUGGGGAGCAAACAGG